rnacentral:rRNA from 1 species
UACGUAGGGUGCAAGCGUUGUCCGGAAUUAUUGGGCGUAAAGAGCUCGUAGGUGGCCUGUCGCGUCGGCUGUGAAAACUCGGGGCUCAACUCCGAGCUUGCAGUCGAUACGGGCAGGCUAGAGUUCGGCAUGGGAGACUGGAAUUCCUGGUGUAGCGGUGAAAUGCGCAGAUAUCAGGAGGAACACCGGUGGCGAAGGCGGGUCUCUGGGCCGAUACUGACACUGAGGAGCGAAAGCGUGGGGAGCGAACAGG